GACAGAGGGUGCAAACGUUGUUCGGAAUUACUGGGUGUAAAGCGCGUGUAGGCGGUGUGGUAAGUCGGAUGUGAAAGCCCCGGGCUCAACCCGGGAAGUGCACUCGAUACUGCCACGCUAGAGUAUCGGAGAGGUUGGUGGAAUUCUCGGUGUAGAGGUGAAAUUCGUAGAUAUCGAGAGGAACACCGGUGGCGAAGGCGGCCAACUGGACGAAUACUGACGCUGAGACUCGAAAGCGUGGGGAGCAAACAGG
rnacentral:rRNA from 1 species